rnacentral:tRNA from 5 species
GGGCCAUUAGCAUAGUAGUAGUGCACCGCAUUCGCAUUGCGGGGACGGGGGUGCGAUCCCCCCAUGGUCCACAA